rfam:Trametes versicolor FP-101664 SS1 unplaced genomic scaffold TRAVEscaffold_6, whole genome shotgun sequence.
GCUUGGAUGGCUCAGUUGGUUAGAGCGCAGGUCUCAUAUUUCCACAUAUGACCACCACCUGAUGGGUAAUCCUGAGGUCAUGAGUUCGAUCCUCAUUCCGAGCA